UUCCGUGGCUGAGAGAGGAGCCGAGCCGGUGGCGGCAGCAGCAGCGUUGGAGGGGUCCUUUUGCUCUCUCUGAAGGAAGUUUCCUCUCACGGUUGGCGGCGGCUCCAAAAGAAGAAGGACGACGACGAGGAGGAGAAGGCCGCCAUUAAAACACACCGGCGACAGGGAUGAGGGCGUGACCAGUAACUGGCAUUCCUGGCAUGGAACUGAGCUGGCUUGAUUUGUGGGGACUAUAAGGUUGCCAUCACGAAAGCCAAAGUGGAUUUCUCCGGUGUGUUGUGCCUGCCCCCUUCCGUCAUUGCUGGAAAUGGGCUGGACGGAGGAGGGGCUGGCGAGAAUGAAGAUGAGGCGGUGUUGGUGUCUCUUUCAGGAGCAC